rnacentral:rRNA from 1 species
UACGUAGGGUGCAAGCGUUGUCCGGAAUUAUUGGGCGUAAAGAGCUCGUAGGCGGUCUGUCGCGUCGGACGUGAAAAUCCAGGGCUCAACCCUGGACCUGCGUUCGAUACGGGCAGACUAGAGUUCGGCAGGGGAGACUGGAAUUCCUGGUGUAGCGGUGAAAUGCGUAGAUAUCGGGAGGAACACCAGUGGCGAAGGCGACAUCCUGGACCGGUAUUGACGCUGAGGCGCGAAAGCCAGGGGAGCAAACGGG